rnacentral:rRNA from 1 species
UCUCCUGGAAAACGGGUGGUAAUGCCGGAUGUUCCACAUGAUCGCAUGUGAUUGUGGGAAAGAUUCUAUCGGCGUGGGAUGGGGUCGCGUCCUAUCAGCUUGUUGGUGAGGUAACGGCUCACCAAGGCUUCGACGGGUAGCCGGCCUGAGAGGGCGACCGGCCACAUUGGGACUGAGAUACGGCCCAGACUCCUACGGGAGGCAGCAGUGGGGAAUAUUGCACAAUGGGCGCAAGCCUGAUGCAGCGACGCCGCGUGAGGGAUGGAGGCCUUCGGGUUGUAAACCUCUUUUGUUUGGGAGCAAGCCUUCGGGUGAGUGUACCUUUCGAAUAAGCGCCGGCUAACUACGUGCCAGCAGCCGCGGUAAUACGUAGGGCGCAAGCGUUAUCCGGAUUUAUUGGGCGUAAAGGGCUCGUAGGCGGCUCGUCGCGUCCGGUGUGAAAGUCCAUCGCUUAACGGUGGAUCUGCGCCGGGUACGGGCGGGCUGGAGUGCGGUAGGGGAGACUGGAAUUCCCGGUGUAACGGUGGAAUGUGUAGAUAUCGGAAAGAACACCA